GCUUGGUCCACCCAUCAACAGGAUUUCAGUUUCAGAGCCACCUCUGGGUCUGCACCUCCCCUGUGGGGCCUACUGUUUGGCCUUGUGCAGUGCUUUGGAUCUCUGCUUUCCAGAUCAGAUUACAACAAUCCAUUUAACUACUAUGAAACGGUUCUGGAGUGACACUGUUGUGAAGAGGAAAUUCCAGCGGAGCUACUGGAGCAAGCCUUUGAUCUGCCAUAUUGAACUCCUCCAGCUGUGCGGAUUCACUGCACUAUAAGAAAAACAUUUCUACGACCACUUUAAAGCUAAACUCAUUUCAGGAUUGCUUUAAAUUUAGCAACAUCAUCUCACUGGCAAUACAUGAGUUGUAUUUCUUGAAUACAGGAAGCUACAUUCACUUCAGUGAAGGCUUGACGUCAUCAGGCAGCAUUAGCAUCACCUGGGACUUUUCAAGCCUCACCUCAGACCUACUAAAUCCGAGUCUGCAUUUUAAGAAGCUCCCCAGGUGAUUAAUCCCCACAAUAAAGUUUCAGAAGCAUUGAUUUAAAGGAUCCACGUGUCCUGUUGUGUCCGGAAUUGGUGGGUUCUUGGUCUCACUGACUUCAAAAAUGAAGCCGCGGACCCUGGCGGUGAGUGUUAGAGUUCUUAAAGGCGGCGUGUCUGGAGUUUGUUCCUUCUGAUGUUUGGAUGUGUUCGGAGUUUCUUCCUUCUGGUGGGGUUCGUGGUCUCGC
rnacentral:lncRNA from 1 species